rnacentral:rRNA from 1 species
UGAGGGAAUAUUGGGUCAAUGGGCGAGAGCCUGAACCAGCCAAGUCGCGUGAAGGAUGAAGGUUCUAUGGAUUGUAAACUUCUUUUAUUCGAGGGUAAAGUGAGGUAUGUAUACCUUAUUGCAAGUAUCGAAUGAAUAAGCAUCGGCUAACUCCGUGCCAGCAGCCGCGGUAAUACGGAGGAUGCAAGCGUUAUCCGGAUUCAUUGGGUUUAAAGGGUGCGUAGGCGGCUUGGUAAGUCAGCGGUGAAAUUCCAGUGCUCAACAUUGGCCGUGCCGUUGAUACUGCUGGGCUUGAAUGCGGAUGCCGUGGGAGGAAUGUGUGGUGUAGCGGUGAAAUGCAUAGAUAUCACACAGAACACCGGUUGCGAAGGCAUCUCACGAAUCCGCAAUUGACGCUGAGGCACGAAAGUGUGGGGAU